rnacentral:misc_RNA from 1 species
GAUGAAGAACGCAGCGAAAUGCGAUGAGUAAUGUGAAUUGCAGAAUUCAGUGAAUCAUCGAAUCUUUGAACGCACAUUGCGCCCGCUAGUAUUCUGGCGGGCAUGCCUGUCCGAGCGUCAUUUCAACCCUCAAGCCCCCGGGCUUGGUGUUGGGGAUCGGCGAGCCUCCGCGCCCGCCGUCCCCUAAAUCUAGUGGCGGUCUCGCUGUAGCUUCCUCUGCGUAGUAGCACACCUCGCACUGGGAAACAGCGCGGCCACGCCGUUAAACCCCCAACUUCUGAACGUUUGACCUCGGAUCAGGUAGGAAUACCCGCUGAACUUAAGCAUAUCAAUAAGCGGAGGA